ensembl:lncRNA
CACCCGGCGGCAGGGAAGCGGGGGGGGCUGCUCGCCGAGGCCACCGGGGAGGAGCCCGCCGGGACCGGUGCGACCCAGCAGCACGGCGGAGCCGGGACGUGCCUGAAGCGCCGGGAGGAAAGACCAGCCGGGGAUAAACGCCGCGGGGGCAGCGGGCGGGAAGGAGCCCCCCGGCGCUGAGGUGAUUCCCGGGGCUGCGGCGCGGGAAGGCGGAGGGGAAGGGACACCGGGAGAGGGCUACGGAAGGGCGAGAAGCGGGGUGGGACGGCAGGCAGUUGUUAAUCUCCGCCACAGAGCCUGCGGGAGAGACAGGCGGACGCGCUGGGGACGGGGAGGGCAUUAUUUAAACACCUUCUCCAAACAAACCCCAGAGAACUGCAGGCAUUUCAAUUCUCUCCUGUACUGCUUUCAAGCCAAGGGUGGCAAUGAAAUGUUACAGCAGGAGCCUGAAGCCGCAUAAAAGCAGAACGCAGCCAACACGUCUCCCAGCAGAAGGAGCUGAAGGGCAACCCCAACACAGACAGGUGGUCACCAUCACCCCGCUUCCACCUCCUGUGACGGACAGGUCUGACCCGCGCGAAGUGCUGGAAAGAGGCUAGGAGACAGCAAGCAUGCUCAGCGCCAGGUGUCUGCAAAGAGCUGAAGGUGGCUCAGUGUGGCACCAGGCAGAGCUGAGGAACCACGCCAGGCAGCAGCAGUGACCCCUGUGCCCACCUUCUUUCGAGCUUAUGGUCCACUCCCUUUUCAUGGUGCAUCUAUGAGCUAUUAGCAGAUGAAGUGCUUUUUUAUAUAAUCAUUACAUACAUCAUGACUCUGCUGUUAACACCACCCCUUUUUUUCCUCCCACAUUUCAUGUUUACUAAUAGAGAAGGGGUCAGUAGUGUGCUAACGCAGAAGGAAUAGACACAGUCAAGUAUAAACUUACCUAAAUGGUUCAGCACUCAACUAAUACCAUCAUGGUAGCUGAAGUACACUCACUUCCCUCAGCACUUUACACCUUUCCCUGACCAGCUGCAUUUUUUUGUGUUUAAGACAAGCACUGAGUGUGGUUUUGCCUUACUCAAGCCGGUUUGUUGUUCAACUGCAGGGGAAGUAUCAUCUUCAACUCAUUCACCUGAAAAUCCCUUAACAAGUUAAGAUGCACCAAGGCCUACCGAAAGUGGACCUUAAUAUUCCUCUAUAUAGAAUGGAACAACACAAAGAGAAUAUAGAUGGUAUCACAAAGAAAGAUGAGGAUGCUUUAGUCUUGUUUUACUCCUUGGAAUUAAUGAGUUUGCAAAGUUUUUUUUUUUUUUUUUUUUUUUUUUAAUAAAGAUUCACUAAAAGUAGUUGCACACCAUGUUUUCCUUCCCCUUGAAAAAC